GGACAAUGGGCGCAAGCCUGAUCCAGCAAUGCCGCGUGCAGGAUGAAGGCCUUCGGGUUGUAAACUGCUUUUGUACGGAACGAAAAGCCCUGGGUUAAUACCCUGGGGUCAUGACGGUACCGUAAGAAUAAGCACCGGCUAACUACGUGCCAGCAGCCGCGGUAAUACGUAGGGUGCAAGCGUUAAUCGGAAUUACUGGGCGUAAAGCGUGCGCAGGCGGUUUUGUAAGACAGAGGUGAAAUCCCCGGGCUCAACCUGGGAACUGCCUUUGUGACUGCAAGGCUAGAGUACGGCAGAGGGGGAUGGAAUUCCGCGUGUAGCAGUGAAAUGCGUAGAUAUGCGGAGGAACACCGAUGGCGAAGGCAAUCCCCUGGGCCUGUACUGACGCUCAUGCACGAAAGCGUGGGGAGCAAACAGGAUUAGAUACCCUGGUAGUCCACGCCCUAAACGAUGUCAACUGGUUGUUGGGUCUUAACUGACUCAGUAACGAAGCUAACGCGUGAAGUUGACCGCCUGGGGAGUACGGC
rnacentral:rRNA from 1 species